AUUGAACGCUGGCGGCAUGCUUUACACAUGCAAGUCGAACGGUAACAGGGAGCUUGCUCCGCUGACGAGUGGCGAACGGGUGAGUAAUGCAUCGGAACGUGCCUAUUUGUGGGGGAUAACGUAGCGAAAGUUACGCUAAUACCGCAUACGCCCUGAGGGGGAAAGCGGGGGAUUCGUAAGAACCUCGCGCAAUUAGAGCGGCCGAUGUCGGAUUAGCUAGUUGGUGGGGUAAAGGCUCACCAAGGCGACGAUCCGUAGCGGGUCUGAGAGGAUGAUCCGCCACACUGGGACUGAGACACGGCCCAGACUCCUACGGGAGGCAGCAGUGGGGAAUUUUGGACAAUGGGCGAAAGCCUGAUCCAGCCAUGCCGCGUGAGUGAAGAAGGCCUCGGUUGU
rnacentral:rRNA from 1 species